rnacentral:lncRNA from 1 species
GUAAGGUGUUGAUUUGUGGAUGUGCGAUUGAUCCAAAGGGCCGUUGGGCUUGAUCUAAGGAUGAACGUUCUUCAAAGGCCGUGGACUUGAUCUUGAAGGUGGAUUUGAGCGGAUCUUCAAGGGGCUUUUGGGCUUGAUCUUUGAAGAACAGUGAUGAACGGAUCUCCAAGGGCUUUUGGGCUUGAUCUUGAAGAACGGUUGGACGUGUGGAUUUGUUGAUGUUGUUGAUCCAAGGGGCCGUCGGGGCUUGAUCUUGGAAGAACGAUGAACGAAGAACGAAGAACGAAGAACACUUUCUUCAAGGGCCGUCGAGGCUUGAUCUUGAAUCGGUGGAUUGUUGAUCCAAGGGGCCAUCGGGGCUUGAUCUUGAAUUACGAUGAACGAAGAACGAAGAAGGCUUUCUUGAUUCUUCGGGAAUCUGGAUGCUCGAGAGCUUCGGAGUUUCAGAGCUUCAGAGCUUCAAGGUGUAAUAUGAAUUCCUCCUCCCAAAUGAAAUGAAAUUGGCUUUUAUUUAUAGAAUUUUUCAAGGCCUAAUUUUGAAUAUAAUAUUCCAGAUGAAAUAAGUCGUUUCUGCCAUGUGUUGACACGUGUCUUGUUUGAUGACUUUUCCGACUCAUUUCAAUUUUUUGUCGAGUCAUAUGCUACGUGUAAAAUUUAUGUAAUAUAUGAGCGUUGAAACUUUGAUUUAUCGGUCAACAUUUAUUUACCAAAAUUUCGAUGUCUACAAAUGCCCCCACUUCAAGGCGCGUCGUAUACAUGUGCUUGUCACGUGUAGGAGAUGCGUUUUGAAGUUCCUUAAUGUAGAUGUCGAUCCAAGGGCCAUCGAGGCUUGAUCUUGAAUUGGGCUGGAGAUUUCUUCAAGGCCCGUUGAGGCUUGUUCUUGGACUUUGUUUGAAAUUUCUUUAAGGGCCGUCGAGGCUUGAUCUUGAAGGUUGAAAUUGGACCAUAAGGAGCUUCAUGUGGUAGAUGAUCUUUGGCUUUGGUAAUGGAUGAAUCGGCACGUAUUUGUUUUUGCGCUUUGUUGACUUUCCACAGCUUUGAUCUUGAACUGGGUUGGAGGAUUUUCUAGAUUCCUCCAAUUGUUGAUUUUCCACAGCUUAUUCUUGAACUAGGUUGGAGGAUUUUCUGGUUUCCUUCAAUUGUUGACUUUCCACAGCUUAUUCUUGAACUGGAUUUGAUUCAAGAGUGGUAGACACUUGAUCUUGAAUCGGACUUGUGAUUUCCUCAAAGGCCGUCAAGGCUUGAUCUUGGAUUUGGCUGGAAGCUUCUUCAAGGGCCGUUAAGGCUUGAUUCUUGAAGGUUGACUCGAACACAUGGCAAGCAGGCACGAGGUGAAGGUGACAACUU